AAACGGUGUGACAUAAGAGAUGAUGUGACACUUGAAGAUGGAGGGAUCCCUUUGCACUUGGGAAAAAGGAAGAAAGCUGGAAUGACCUCAGCACGACUCUUUCCAUAACACACUUUCCCUGAGAGGAUAUGAACAAUGAAGCUGUACAUGUGAUGCUGGACAAAUGCUGGGCCCGCGUUCAACACCUACAGUGUUACAAAGUAAAGCUCUUCCAUGUUCUUUACCGUCCAGAAUAUUUCGUCGCUGUACGAGGGACGAGAUUAGUCAGACCGCUAUUGUGUCGUUGUGAUCCGCGGGCACUCGGAAAGCUUUCUCUGUGCGAUAAGGCCUCGGACUUUUCCUCUCCGCCCUGACCGGGGCAGACAGCGGCUCUAAGCGGUGCCCUCCACGUCGGCAUGAGGCUCCUCCACUGUGGGCUCUGAUGGAUGAUGCAGAUAAGAAGGGCUGUUGUGACUGGGCCGACUAAAGGCCAAGCAGGGUGAUGGCGAGAUAGCUUCUUGUUGUCCUUAUCUGGUGAUCGUGGUGUUUGUGUCUCGGUGCGUCUGCAUGUGUGCGCUUGUGCAGGAAUGAUAUCUGAUGGAAAAGUACCAACACAACAAUCUAAAAAUAAUCAUUUACAGGAAAAUGGUCUGCGUUUAAAAUCCCACUGGUGAAGAAGUACAGAAUAAUCAGUAGAAUCUACUUAUCAAGUAAAAUGGCUAUAAUGAGUAUGAAAUGAGUCUGUGGUUAUGUGACUCACUGCAGUAAUUGAUGACUUUAUUAUCUGUUAAAGGCUAUAGCUGGAAGAGUUGAAGCUAGUUUGAACUACUUAACAUACUGUAGACCAGGUCCUCCAAACCGUCUUAAGUUAAACCCGGCAAACAAUGCAAAGAUUCAAUGGUUUAGAAAAUUAAAUAAAUAACUGCCACUCACAUUUGUAUUCUUGGAGUUUCCUCUAGUGUUCCCCAAGGCACUUCUGCAGUUGCCAUGGGUAACGGGGAAAGACUGCAGCUCAACUACUUAAAAAAAAGAAUGAAUCACAAUUUGAUAAGAACAUACAUCCACAUAUUGAGUCCGCUGUAACACAUGAACACCACGGGUUGGGUGCACAUGAAAACUACGCAAGCAAAGACGUUGAAACUCAAAAACACAGCCCAAAGGCACAGCUUUUUUGUGUGAGAUGUUACAAGGCCUCCACAGAAAACAUAUCAUCAAGGUCAGUAUCACCAGAGAUGCCAUGUUCUGUCUCCACUCUUUAUCCUCUCAGGCCGGUUUGCCAAUGUCUCUCUCUCUCUCUCUCUCUCUCUCUCUGCCAGUGUUGGCGUCUGAGAACUAAAACAAAAACACGCAUGUGAAACUGAUCAAAGAGUAAAUCUUUUCCUGUCUGUUCGUUUGCAAUGUGUGCUCUCUGUCGGGGUGCAAAAUGUAGUAUUGUUGUGGGCAAAUGUGAGAUAUUUAUCUACUUUAAAGUCACGCUCACGCAGGGUCCCUCAGGCGAGCAUGUGCUCUCAAUACUCUCACUCUGCUAUUGAUCACAACACCAAUGGCGUGUGAAUCAGUGUGAGAGGUUGGUUUUUAAAAGUUAUUUAAAAAUGCAUUAGUUUUUUAUGUUUACAGUAAAACACACUCACUCCACAUAUUGGCAAACAUGGGUAAUACAAUUGUUAACAAUUAGAGCUUUAGCGGUUUAAAAGAGCCGUAGGUGAGCUUGUCUGUUUUGAAGCAAUGGAUACCAACAUGUGGGGGGAGCGAGAGAUGCAUAGCAUGAGGAGGAAGAGGAGGAAGACAAAGAUCAAGGAGAGCCAUAAUCACUGAGAUUCAAAC
ensembl:lncRNA